GGAUUGGGGUCGGGGAAGCCUCUCGGAUAAUAACUGCAAAUAGAAAAAGAGGCAAAAACAAUUUCUUCUCUGCCUCGAAGCAGAAAGGACUGUGUUCUUAAAGCCGCUGGUUGCAGUCACAAGGCCAGUUGCCUGCCUCCGUUGCCUGCGUAAAGUGAGGACUCGCUGUCCCUCCCUCUAUCCCUUCUUGGAACGGCAGCCCGGGAAUGCAGCUCAAGUCAUUUCUCCGCUGAGACCUCGGACAAGUCACUUCCUCCCAGCUGCAGUGUCCUUUUCUCUAAAAGGCGUUAAGCGGCUCUUGGUGGUGAGGCUGGGAGGGGCACUGGGUGGGGGGCACGCAGGAGGUGCUCAGUGACUCUGGUUUCCCCUCUCGGAGUUCAUACUUACCCGGAGGCAGCAGUCACUGUGGUAGCCGCCUGGAACCAGGGCUCCUGGGGUGCCACGUGUGCCC
rnacentral:lncRNA from 1 species